GUAGCCUAGUGGACAUGGCAUCUGCCCGGUAAGCGGAAGGUUGUGGGUUCGAUUCCCGAAUACU